UACGUAUGGGGCAAGCGUUAUCCGGAAUUAUUGGGCGUAAAGAGUGCGUAGGUGGUUACCUAAGCGCAAGGUUUAAUCUUGAGGCUCAACCUCAUUCUGCCUUGCGAACUGGGCUACUUGAGUGCAGGAGGGGAAAGCGGAAUUCCCAGUGUAGCGGUGAAAUGCGUAGAUAUUGGGAAGAACACCGGUGGCGAAGGCGGCUUUCUGGACUGUAACUGACACUGAGGCACGAAAGCGUGGGGAGCAAACAGGAUUAGAUACCCCGGUAGUCCCUGA
rnacentral:rRNA from 1 species